CACCUAGUAAGUGUUAGAGGAAAAGAUUUAGGAAGAAAAAGCAAUGUCAAGUCAAUUAUAUUGUUGAAGAAAUAUCAUCAAAUAUAUCACCUUAUUUUGAUGGUACAUGUACUACUUCUGAAAAUGAAAAAUGUAAAUAUCCAUUAAGUCUCAAGAUCCAGGAAUGUGGCGUAUCAUAAUAGAUGGAAACUUCGUACCAAUAGUAAAUCUAAGUGAUCCAAUAUCUGCUGAAAAGGGUGAGGAAGAUUGGACAACAUAAGAAUAAGUCAAAGUUCUUCUAAACUCUAAAGUUCAAUUAUUUCUAUAUUGUGCUUUAAUUAUUGUGGAAACUGAAAGGGUUGAUGAAUGCGGCACAAUAAAGAAAAUAUGGGAUACACUACAAACUCACCAUGAAGAGACAAACCAUGUCAAAGAAACAAUGAUAUAUAUUGGUGUACGAAAAUUUGAACUAUUUGAGAUGACUAAAAGGAAUUGUACAAGAAAUCUUAAGAGCUUGAGCAAAAGAUUUGAUUAAGGACAUUGAAGUUGUGAUCGACAAUCUGCAAGGAUUUUCUUAAUUAGGAACAUAUAUACAGACAAUUGGUUUGCUUUCCUAUAAGGAUUUGCUUUCCAUGUUUUCUAUUCUUGAUCUCCAACGUUUUGAUCUAUCAUGUUUUACUAUUUUUUUUCUCUUAAUUGUAAACUUCUUAACGUAUGUAUAUAUUUUUUCCUUUCAUAUUUAAUUAUUUUAAAUAAUACUACCCAUAAAGUAUUUUAUUUUUUUCAUUUCUUCAUUUUAAUUUUAAUUUAAAUAAUGUUUUCUUCACAACAAACAUACUUAUCAAUAUUCUCUCCAUUCUUAUUUACAAACAAAACAAACAAAAGUAUUGAUGUAUUUGGUUCAAACACUUUUAUUUAUAGAUAAGAAUAGAGAGAGUAUUGAUUAAAAAAACACUUAUUAGUAUUACAUUAUACAUGGAUGAGAUUCGUUCGACUUUAAGAGUAAUUAUGUAAUGCAUUAUUUCACUUAAUAAUUCAAUAUAAACGAUGAAAUAUAUUUAUUCAAUCGUUGAUUAUUGAUAUAAUAUAUUAAUGAUCAAGCACACAGUUUUAUAUAAAUCGAAAAUUCAUAGCUAUGUAGUCUACACUACGCGAAAAAUAGUGUUUUACACCGCUUUUUUUUAAGCCAUUUACAGCGCUUUUUCAAAAAAUUAAGCGUUGUAGUAUCUAGCGCCUUAAAAAGAUACAACAUCGCUCUUUAAAAUAAAAAAGCGUUGUAGAUCCCUUCUAAAAAUGUGCUACUUGUUGUACACGUUUUACAACGCUUUUUCAAAAAAGCAUUAUAAUAUGUGCAUUCUUAUGCACGUUUUACAGCACUUUCUUAUUUAUUUUCAAAAUUAAUGUUCCUUUUUUUUUCUCACCAUGUCUCAUCCAACAUGUAUAGCUUUGAUCAAUUCCAUUCCAUACUAAAUGUCCUUCCAAUUCAUCUUCUCUAACGCGUUUUCCAAAACAACAUUUUAAACAAGGACAAACGACUCUAUUUGGAUCUUUUGCAUUCUUCACUGCAAACUCAACAAACUCCUUCACUCCAUUUUCAUACUCUUUUGAUAAUCGAUUGACAGACAUCCAUUUCCGGUCCAUAUUAUAUGACCUAUAUAAAUGCAGUUACAAAAAUAAUAAGCUACUGCUAACAUCAACCAUUAUGUAACAAUUUCACAACAGAAAAGAUUUCAAAACAGAACAGAUCAAUAAAUUUCAAAAAAGAAAAGAUUUUAUAUGAUUUAUUAUGUAACAAUUUAUUAGUUUUCGUGACAACAACAAAUUAAUAAAUACCUGAGACAAUGUAUCCAAUUUUUUUUAAAGGAGGAGCAGUAGAUGGCCGCACAGUACGUAGAGGAGAUCAGGGUUCUCAUAGUAGAGGUGAUGAGGGUUCGUAAAUUUGUUUUAAAUUUAUUUUUAUUUAUUUAAAGUAAAUGAUUUUUAUUUAAAGUGAAUGAGUGAAUGAUUUUACAGCCCAUUUGUAGAAUAAGCGCUCAAAUAGGUUAUUCAGUUAUGUGACCUUUUACAGCGCUUGUAACAAAAGCGCUCUAAUAGGUUAUUUAUUUAUUUGAAAGCGCAUGUCUUUUACAGCGCUUGUAAAAAAAAGCGUUGUAAUAGGUCAUUUAAUUAUUUGAAAGCGCAUGUCUUUUACAGCGCUUGUCCAAAAAGCGUUGUAAAACAUUAUGUGAAGGCGCUUCAUUAUACAGCGUUUGUGUAAAAGCAUUGUAAAAGCCUUGUAAAAAUUUUGCGCAAACGCUAUAUGACCCUACAACAGCGCUUGUCAAAAAAGCGCUGUUAUAUGCUCCGUUAUUUUUAAAAUAUAUUUACAACAGCGCUUGUAUUUAGUAAGCGCUGUUAAAGGCGCGCUAUAAAAUCCUAUUUUUGGCGUAGUGACAUAAACAAAAGCUAUUCGUUAAGAUCAUAAACAAAAUAUUAGUUAGAAACUAUAGUUUAUAAUGUACCACAUUAUAUAAAAGUGAUGUUUACUUACAAUUUUUUGCUCUAAACGUGCAUAUCCCAUACGAGGUUUUUUUUAUGGAUGCGUUGGAUUUUUUGCCCUCUCGCGAUUUUGUGUACUUAUACUCUAUAUAAAAAAAAUAACAAUCGUUUAAAAAUUUAAAAUACGCUAUGAAUAUGAAUAAUAAAACACAAAUGCUAAUAAAUUAAUCACUUACCACAAACGUGAGGUCUGCACGUUUAGCUACAAAUGCGCUUCAUUCGCCAUUUGAUAUAUAGUGUUUAUAUAUUUUUGGAGCUUCAACAUUCAUAUUUCCAUCAUGAUCUCUUAGGUAGCAGUUUGACAUAUGAGAUCUAAAUCUCCCGUGUAUUUUUCCGGCAACUCUAAGCAUGCAAGUUUUUCUCACCUCAUCAACAUCAAAAGCAGACUGCAAACCAAAUAAAGAUAUAGUUUGUGUAAAGUAUUUCAGUGGAAAAACAUAUAAGUAACAAAAAAGUGGAGUAAAAAAGUUACUUUUAUAUCAUUCCACAGUAUAUCUUUUGCAUCUGUCAAAGCCUUAUCUCUCCAAUCGUCAAUUGUAAUUGGGAUAUUUUGACGAACAACAACACCAAUAUAACUUACCAACAUGGAACUGUUGGGCUCAAUUGGCUGGCCACUUUCAUUCCAUCCCACCUAAUAAACUCAUAUAGUAAGUACAUGCUUUCAAAAAAGAUAAAAAAUAAACAGCAAACAAAGUAUAGUAUACCUCAAAUUUUAUGUCAUUACUUCUUGCUUUUAUGACAUUUUGCAUAAUGGUUGCACCAUGUUUAACUUUAUUUUCAUAAGUCUUUGUGUUGACAACUUCCUCAUUUUGACGAUCCAAAGCCUUGUUAGAAUCCAUUUAUCUACAACAAGUUCAACAUGCAGUUCAGUAUAACUUCAACAAGUUCAACAUGCAGUAGUCUAAGUACAUAGCAGUAUAAGUUCAACGUGAAUUUCAGUGACAACAAAAAAUUAAUAAAUACAAUACCUGAAGAGUGCGAAGAAAAACGUAGGGUUCGUAGGGUUACAGCUUCAUUUAAGAAGGAACAGCGAGAAUGCGCAGAAAUACGAACGGUUUGUAGGAUAGAGUUGGGUUCGCAGAAAUACGUAAUGAGGGUUACGUAUUUCAAUGAGAAGAGUACAUAUUUCAAUGAGGGUUCGUAGGGAUAGUAACAAAGAUAAAGAUGGUUCGCAAUGGAGAUGGUUAACAAUAUGGUUCGUAGAGACAGUAGGGUUCGCAAUGAGAAUGACAAUGAAGAGGAGGAGGACUCUGAAGCGUAGUGAAGUUUACGAAAUGAAGAGGAAACUGAAGCGGUUUACUGUUAUAUAUAAAAUCCUAUUACAACACUUUUUUGAAAGAGCGUUGUAAAAGACUUCCAUAUUUUAUUUUUUAAAAGUCUAUUACAUCGCUUUUGCAACAAGCGCUUUAAAAGACCUCUUUAACAAGUGUUUUUGCAGCAAUUGAUAACAUUAUACCAAUAUAUAGUACACAUAUCUAAUAUUGGAAAAUGGAAACCAAGGUCCAAGACUGAUUUCAAAACAGAACAGAUCAACAAAUUUCAAAAAAGAAUAGAUUUUAUAUGAUUUACUAUGUAACAAUUUAUUAAUUUUAGUGACAACAAUAAAUUAAUAAAUACAGUACCUGAGACAACAUUUCCAAUUUUUUUUAAAGGAGAAGUAGUAGAUUGACGCAAAGUAUAGGAGAGGAGGGUUCGCAGAGUAGAGGAUAUAAGGGUUCGUAGGGUUAGGACAAUGUAUUAAAUUUAUUUUAUUUAUUUAAAGUAAAUGAUUUUUAUUUAAAGUGAAUGAUUUUAGAGCGCUUGUAUAAUAAGCGUUCUAAUAGGUCCUUUAAUUAUGUGAAAGCACAAGUCUUUGACAGCGCUUGUAGAAAAAACGCUCUAAUAUGUCAUUUAAUUAUGUGAAAGGGCAAGUCUUUUACAACGCUUGUCAAAAAAGCGCUUUAAAAGCUAUGUAACAUAAGGUGGGAGCGCUAUAUUUUACAGCGCUUGUGUUUAAAACGCUCCAAAAGCACUAUAAAACAUUAUGUGAGGGGCUUCAAUUUACAGCACUUUUAAAAAAGCGCUAUGUGACCCUACAACAGCGUUUUUUCCACAGCGCUUGUCAAAAAGGCGAUGUUGUAUUCUCUGUUAUUUUUAAAAUAUUUAUACAACAGCGCGUGUAUUUAAUAAGCGCUAUAAAAUGUCAUUUUUGGCGUAGUACUACUUAUUGAUAUCUAGUUAUAUUUUUUAAAAUUUUAUUAUACGUUCAUUUGAAAUUAUUUAAUAAAAUAUCAAAUAAUUUUAAAAAUUUAUAAGAUUAAUCUACUCAAUAUAAACUUUUAAUUUAACGAUUAAAUUAAUGUAAUUCAUCGUUUAUAUUGAGUUACUUAUUAGGUCAAUGAAUCCCACCCAUUAUAUUAUAUAUUACUAUUAUUAUUAUUAUGAUUAUGAUUAUUAUUAUAUACAUAAAUCUGUUAUUAUGUAUCCAUUAACAAAUAUAAAUACGAAUCCACUUUUUGAAAAUAUGAUUAUAAGUGUCAUGUUGCUAUCCAUUUGAUAUUUAACGUAAGUUACCUACGUGCCAAAAGUUGGUCUAUUGUGAAAAUUAUUAUUUAAUGAAUAUUCAUUUAUUUAUCAAUAUAUAGUAAUGAAUAUAUUGUAAAGUAUAAAUGUUAUAUGCUAUAUGAUUUAUUUUAAAUUUUACUAUAAAUAUAAUUCAAAUUUAAUAUAAAUAACUUCAAAGAAUAGUUUAAAUUUUAUAUUGCAAAAUAACGAUUAAUACCACCGUUACUAAUAAUAUAUCCCUCCAAUUUUAUUUUUAAAUUCAAUAUACAUAAAAACAUAUAAACACUCAUUAAACAAGAUUUUUAAUAGAAAAUUUGCAUAUAUAUACAUUUUGAAAGGUUCUUUCAAAUUACGCUUAAGGAAGUGUAAUGUUUAUAAUGCGUAAUAAACAAUUAUCUGAAUAUUUUAAAAUGAUAGAAAUAAAACUUAAUCCACGAGAAUGUAUAUUUUAUAUAAAACCAACAAGAGAUGUUUGGUUUGUAGUAAAUGUUUGAUUUUUGUAGUUUUAAGAAACAUAACGUCACUGUUUUAAAUAAUAAUAAUUUUUCAUUAUUUAAUUUUCUUUUGAAAUAUUUGUAUAAAUUAAUAUUAACAACUUAACUAUAGAAAUGACAAUUAACAGAAGACCAAAAAAAAUCGACACUUCACAAAUAUUUUAAUUAUAUUUGCAACGGAAUACAACUAUUAUUAAAACAAUAAUAUAUAUAAAAUAAUUAUUCUUACGAAGGAAAACUAAUCCAUGCUUAGCACGAGUCAUUUACACUAGACUUUUGAAAAAUUAAGAUAAAUAUACGAUAACAAAAAAAAAUUUAUAAUUUAUAAUUACUUAAUUUAAUACUAUUUAGAAAAUCAUAAAAAUUGGGCAUCUAUAAAUAUAAGAAAUUCUCUAUAUAAAAUAUUAUUAUAGACAGAUAAUUAUAUUCAAAAAGGGAAAAACAAUUGCACAAAUAUGUACUAUAUUGUUCAGAUAUUAAAAAAAAAAAAAACUAUAAUAACAAACAAUCAAUUUUAAAUUUUUUGAAAUAUUAAAUCAAGUCCUUAAAUCAAUUAAUUCUUUUUUGACUAAAAAAUCAAUUAGUAUUUUAAAAAUUAUAAAUAAUAAACAUAUUUUAUUUCAAAUUUAGGAAAAUAAAAGAAUACUCAAUGCAUAUAAUAUGUAAUAUAAUGAAGAGCAUAUUCUAUUCCAUAUUUAGGAAAAUCAGAUUUUAAUAUAUGAUAUUACAUUUAUCAAAUAUAAGAAAAAAAAUCUAAAAACAAAAAAUAAAAUUUUUAAAAACUUUCUUGUCAUUUAAUUUAAUCAAUAAAGAUUCUGAAAUUCAUGCAUAGUGGUUAAUUUAAUAAUAAAAAUAGAACUAUGAGUAAAAUAUCUAUAUCACAUAUAUAAAAGCUACAUUCUAUUAUUUUUUUGCCACAUUCUAUUCUAAGCUUACGAAAAACAUAUCAUAUAAGAAUUUAAUUUAUAUGCAAUAUAUGUGUAAAAAAAAAUUACAUUGUCAAUCAAUCACAAUCGUUAAAUUAUUAAUAAUGUUUGAUUUUUCUCAUAUCUAUUUAUAAAGUUAUAUGCAUGAUUGAUCUUGAUUUAUCGUUUGUGUAAAACUUUGUGCACUAUUUGUUGACACCUAAUUUUGUCCAAUUUUUACCUUUUAUUAAAAAAGGAAAGAAUAAUAAUAAUGAUAAAUAUAUAAAUAUAUGUGAAGAAAUAUAAAAAUAAAAAUAAAUAAUUAGGGAUAUAAGCUUUUAACAAUCACAAGUGUUUUCGAUUCUUGUUUGCCUCUAAUUCAUGUUCAGACUAUUUUAUAAAAUAUAAAAAAAAUAAGAAAUAAAAAUAAAGGAAACUGAAAAGAAAUGAAUUGAUGGUCAUAAAAAUCAGAAUAAUGGUGAUCAAUUGAAUAGAAAAGAAAAUCGAAGAUAUGAAUCAAUGGCAAUAAGAAUCGGUAUAAUUGUGGCCAAUUAAAAGAAAAGAAACCAAAAAAAUAGAUUAAUGGUAAUCAAUUGACAAUUAUUCUUUGUCUUUUGAAAUCUAUAUCCAAAAGUCUAUAAAUAGUCUGCCACAAGAAGACAAAAAGGAGCACAAUUGAAAACACAAAUUAAGAGCACAAAAAAAAUAGAUUAAUUAGAAAAAGAGAAGAAGAUAUUCUGAUCUUGAAAUAAUCAGUCUAGUAAGGUAUCAUUUUCUUAUUUUUUUCUCUAUUCUGCUUAUUAGUAUUUUUUUUUAUAUUUUUUUAAAUAUAUAUAUUGUUUCUCUUUCUAUUUUUUUUUUUGUUUAUAAAAAAUAAACUCAUAUGUUAAGCUUUCAUUUUAUUUUGGCUUAAUUGCACUUUUGGUCCCCCUAUUAUAGGUGAAAAUUGAAAGUAGUCCCCCCAUUUUGUUUCUCCCCAGUUUUAGUCCCCCAAACAGAAUUUGAGUCCAAAUCAUCAUGAGUUGGCAUUUUUUUAAUGACGUGUCAAAAAAAAGCUGAUGUGGCAGACGCAUACGUGGAAUAAAAUUAUUAUUAUAUUAUUUCUAAUUAAAAAAUAUAAUUUAUAUUUUUAAAAUCAUUAUUAUAAUUGUUAAAAAUUAUUAUUACAAAUAAAAUUUAUUUGUUAUAAUUAAAUUAAAAGAAAAUGCUAUCAUCCACAGGCAUGGCACCUAUGCGACCCUAAUGCAGAAGUAGUAUUCAGAACUCUUAGAAAAUCAGGUGUAAAGUUGGCUGUUGUAUCAAAUUUUGACACUCGGUUAAGACCUCUCCUGAAGGCAUUAAACUGUGAUGAUUGGUUUGAUGCUGUAGCAGUAUCGGCUGAGGUAAGUUAAUUGCUUUUUUCUUUUUUCCGCAUUUUGUUCAAUCAGUUUGUGUUACUACAGGCUCUCCACUUUUCUCCAUCAUCGAUUGAUGAAUACAACUUACUGUGUUGAUUUCAUUCACAAUGAAGAGUAUCAUCAUUGCGAAAAAAAUAUUUGGGAAGGAAAUGGUGGAAAUAAAUCUUAAGUCAUUCAUUGUCUCAAGUCACAUCUUGCAGAAACAUGUUAGGAAUUGGGAGCUUUUGUUGAAUUGGAGCUGUUUUUUAAUUUAGGGUUCAAGCUUUUGUUGAAUGAUAUGCUUCUGGUUCAAGUUUAGGGUUCAUUUUUUUUAAUUUAAUUUUAACAAUUAAAUUUUAUUUGUAAUAAUGAUUUUUAACAAUUAUAAUAAUGAUUUUUAAAAUAUAAAUUAUAUUUUUUAAUUAGAAAUAAUAUAAUAAUAAGUUUAUUCCACGUAAGCGUCCGCCACGUCAGCUUUUUUUAUUGACACAUCAUUAAAAAAAUGACAACUCAUCAUGAUUUGGACUCAAAUUCUGUUUGGGGGACUAAAACUGGGGAGAAACAAAAUGGGGGGGACUACUUUCAUUUUUCACCUAUAAUAGGGGGACCAAAAGUGCAAUUAAGCCUUUUAUUUUUUAAAUCGUUUAAUCCUAGAAUUGUUUUCUUUGCAAUAUAAAAUAAAAUAAAAAAUAUAACUAAUUGAUGUCUAUAGAUCAAGAAAACAAAUUUCAUCAUAUUGUAAUGUAAUAGAAAAUUCAUAAUACGUUUUUAUCAAAUACAAUUAUAACAAUAAAUGGUUUUACCCUUAAAAUUAGAAUUAAUGGUUGUCGUCACCGGAUGAAAUUCAUCCUCGCUCGCUGCACCAUAUUAUUCACUUUCAAUCGUUAGUGGCAUUUGUGUCGCGACAGAUCCGACAACGUACGAGCAAAUCAUUUAACAGUACGAGCAAAUCAUUUAACAAGUUAUUUCACCGUCGUGUCCAUCUGUCUCGUUCACAUACCGCCACGUUACGUUUUUUCUUUUAAAUUUUUUCUUCUUCUUUACUUUAAAACAGACAAAUAUUAUUAUUAUUAUUAUUAUAUUUAUCAUUAUUAUUAUUAUUAUUACAUUUUUAUUUUUUAAUACAUAUAUAAAUAAAAAAAUAAUAAUAAAAUUGGUCAACACACAAAUAUUUUCUACCUAAGAAUUACGUGUGUUUUGAUUUCCCUAUUGCAGAUGAGGAUACGUAGGAGCAAUGUCUUACCCUUGUCAAACCAAAUUAAUAAAACAAAUAUUUUUUUCUUCUUUCAUUAAUGUAAAUAAUUUAAUUUUUUAUUAUUCUGUUUGAGGUGUCGCGUUCGGUUUGUCCGCGAAAAAGGAGUCGCCACAAAUUUUAUUUUUAUUAAAGGAAAAAUUGGAUAAAACCUAAAAUAAUAUUUUUGAAACAAAAAUUUGGAUUCGGGAGUCGAUUACGAGUGGGGAAGUAUUUAUUUAUUUUUACCCCAAAAAAAAUAAUAAAAAAUUAAAUCAUUUACAUUAAUGAAAGAAGAAAAAAAUAUUUGUUUUAUUAAUUUGGUUUGACAAGGGUAAGACCUUGUUCAUAGGUUUCCAUAGGUGCAAUAGGGAAAUCAAAACACACAUAGUUCUUAGAUAGAAAAUAUAAAUAUUUGUGUGUUGACCGAUUUUAUUAUUAUUUUUUAUUUAUAUAUGUAUUAAAAAAUAAAAAUAAAAAUGUAAUAAUAAUAAUGAUGAUAAUAAUAAUAAUAAUAAUAAUAAUAAUAAUAAUAAUAAUAAUAAUAAUAUUUGUCUAUUUUAAAGUAAAGAAGAAGAAAAAAAUUUAAAAAAAAACGUAAUGUGGCGGUAUGUGAAUGAGACAGCGGUGAAAUAACAUAUUAAAUGAUUUGCUCUUACGUUGUCGGAUCUGUCGCGACACAAAGGCCACUAACGAUUGAAAGUGAAUAAUAUAGUGCAGCGAGCGAGAAUGAAUUUCAUCCGGCGACGACAACCAUUAAUUCUAAUUUUAAGGGUAAAACCAUUUAUGUGUUAUAAUUUUUUUUGAUAAAGACGUAUUAUGAAUUUUCUAUUACAUUACAAUAUGAUGAAAUUUGUUUUCUUGAUCUAUAGAUAUCAAUUAGUUAUAUUGUUUAUUUUAUUUUAUAUUGCAAAGAAAACAAUUCUAGAAUUAAACGAUUUAAAAAAUAAAAUGAAAGCUUAACAUAUGAGUUUAUUUUUUAUAAACAAAAAAAAAAUAGAAAGAGAAACAAUAUAUAUAUUUAAAAAAAUACAAAAAAAAAUACUAAUAAGCAGAAUAGAGAAAAAAAAAAUAAGAAAAUGAUACCUUACUAGACUGAUUAUUUCAAGAUCAGAUUAUCUUCUUCUCUUUUUCUAAUUAAUCUCUCUAUUUUUUGUGUGCUCUCAAAUUGUGUUUUCAAUUGUGCUCCUUUUUGUCUUCUUGUGGCAGAUUAUUUAUAGACUUUUGGAUAUAGAUUUCAAAAGACAAAAGAAUAAUUGUCAAUUGAUUACCAUUAAUCUAUUUUUUCAGUUUCUUUUCUUUUAAUUGGCCACAAUUAUACCGAUUUUUAUUCCCAUUGAUUCAUUUCUUCGGUUUUCUUUUCUAUUCAAUUGAUCAUCAUUAUUCUGAUUUUUAUGACCAUCAAUUCAUUUCUUUUCAGUUUCCUUUAUUUUUAUUUCUUAUUAUUUUUUUUAUAUUUUAGAAAAUAGUCUGAACAAGAAUUAGAGGCAAACAAGAACCGAAAACACUUGUGAUUGUUAAAAGCUUAUAUUUAUUUUUAUAUUUAUAUUUAUUCACAUAUAUUUAUAUAUUUAUUAUUAUUAUUAUUAUUAUUAUUAUUAUUAUUAUUAUUUCCUUUUUUAAUAAAAGGUAAAAAUCGUACAAAAUUAGGUGUCAACACUAUUCAUACAUGAAAAUUAAAUAUCUAAUAACAAAAAGUCAAAUACUUGAACUUUAUUUAUUUAUUUAUUUAUUUAUUUAUUUUAUUAUUAUUCAUAAAUUCAAAAAUGACAGACUAAUAAAAGUGUUAAAAUCUCUAAAUGAGAUGUCUAGAAAUAAUAAUGCAAAUAUUUUCUUCUCUAAAUUUAAAAAAAAAUUAUCUUUUAUAAUUUGUAUAUCUUUAUUUUCUUUCUAGAAAUAAUAAUGCAAAUAUUUUCUUCUCUAAAUUUAAAAAAAGUAUUAUCUUUUAUAAUUUGUAUAUCUUUAUUUUCUUUCUAUUGUAUCUCGAAUAAAAUUUUCAACACAUAAACUACAAAAUAACAAUUAUUUUUAUAUACUAUAAUCUAAAAUGAAUCUAAUUUUUUUACUAUUUUUAAAUAAAUUUUCAUAAAAAUUAAUUUUCAAAAUAUAAAGUCGAUAUCUCUUUUAUAAGAUUCUAAACAAACGGAACCUAUAUGUAUUACAAUAUAUCAAUAAAAUAUUUGCAGACGAUACUUUAAUUGCAUAAUAAAAUUUAUUUAUUUAUUUUUGAAACAAUUGCAUAAUAAAGUGCUAUUAAAAGGAUAUUGAACAUUUUAUAUAAAAUGUCAUUAUUAUUAUUAUUAUUUUUACUGUGAAAUAAUAUUUUACUAAAAAUAACACAUUAAUGCUAUUUUUUAUUUAAAAGUAUUAAUUUUGUUUUGAUGUAGUAUAUUUAAAAUGUAAGAAAACAAGUAUGACAUUUUAUAUGUAAAUACAUACGAAAACAUUGUUUAGGCAUAUUAUAAGUGACAUGACUCUUUUGUAGAUUUAUAUACUUUUUAUUUUGUUCAUUGUUUUUUUAUAUUUAUAUUAAAAUAUUGAAAUUUUAUGUCAUAAAAAAGAUAUUUAUUUUUACGGGUGAUAAUUAAUUUGUAUUUGACACAUGUCAAUUACACUAGUCAUUUUAUAUGUAAAUAACUACAUAAAAAGUAAUUCGUUUAAUAAAAGUUCAUGAGAUAUUAAUUUUAAAAUAUAUUAAUAAUAUAUAAAAUAAUUUAAGAUUAAUAUAAAAUUUUAUUAAUAUGAUAAUAAUUUUCAAUCUAAUAAUAAAUUUUAUAAUACAAAUAUACAAUAAAAAAUUAUCUAAAAUAUCAUAAUACUAAGUUAUAUAUCGCUACAUUAACCAAACCUACCGCACAUUUGUUGCAAUUUUGAUCAAAAUCACAUGUUUUACUUCAAAAAUGGUAAUUUUUAGCAUAAAAAAUAAUAAUUUUUGGUAUUAAAAAUAUUUUUUUUUCUUUCAAAUUUAUAAGAGGCAAUAAAUCAUACUUUUUUUUAAUACAAAAUCAUCCUUUUGAAAUAAAAAAAAAAAAUUGAUUUUAAAAUAGUGAACUAUUUUUGUGAGUGUUAAAAUAAAAGGACUAAAAAUGUAAUUAAAAAAAAAUGAAAAUUCAUUAUUGUCUAAACUACCAUAUAAACAAAAAGACAAUAAGAUCUCUUAUAAUAAUAAAAAAUAAUAAUAAUAAAUAAAUAAAUAAAUAAAAAAGACAAUUUCAUUUCUCCAACAUAUAAAUGACUAUAAAUAAUUUUUUUUUUUUAUAAAUCGCCCAAUUUUAUUCUUUAUCAUUCAAAGAAAACUAUUAUAUGGCCAUGAUUAUUUAAUUACAUAUAUAUAAAUAAUACUUGGCUAUUCUAAAAAGACCACUAAUACAGAGAAUCCACAAUAUUAACAAAAUUGUGGAUUCAAAGAAAACUAUUAAAAGAAUCCACAAUAUUAACAAAAUAAUCCACAAUACUUAUAAUUCUAAAAGAAUCCAUAUCAGAUCCAAAAAAUGGUACUAACAGUACCAGUGUACGAAAAACAAAAUUCAUGUUAUUUAGUUAUUUACUAUAUACCUUUAUAUUUAUACUCUCACACUCACAUUUUAAUAAAAAUUUAAUUUUAUUAUUAAAAAAAUCAAAUUUUAUAUUUUGUAGUAUACAUAUGUAUUUUGGAAAUUUUAAGCAACAUUUUUUGGUACAUAAAUGUAUUCAAAAAAUAAAAAUAAAAAAAAAAGCUUUUAUAAAAUUUGAGUUUUUUAAAAAAAAAAUUAUUUCAAAAAAUUUUAAAAAAAUAUUCCGGAACACAAUUGUGUAUUGGAAUUUAUUUUUCAAAUCUUUUGGUUGGCUUUUGUUAAAAAAAUGUAAAAUAGAUAGUUUAAAUAAAAUGUAGAAAUAGAAGUAUAAAUAUGGAGUAUGAGGUAUAAUUUCCUAUAAUUAUAUAUCUAUGUAGAUAGUGGCAGCUUGAAUGCUAAGAAAAUCAAUAAAAAAAUUAGCAAUGUAUUGAAAAAUAAAUUAUCAUUAUUUAUUUGUGGUUGAUAUUUGAUAAAUUAUAUUUAACAUUUAUGUUUAUUUAUGCUCUUCGAUCUUUUUUCUUAAAUUAAUAUUAUUAAUUCAUGUUGUCAAAAUUAGUUUUAAUGUAUGGUAUUUUAAUUUUAAUUAUAUAUAAAACUAUUUAUAUACAAUUUUUUCAGUCAAAAAUAACUAUAUAUAAGUAGUUUUAUAGUUAAUUAAAUUAUAUACUUUUGACUAAAUUCAAUUACUAUUAUUUUGACUAAACUCAAUAAUAUAAUACUUAAUAAUACCAAGUCUAAUUAUUUUAUUUUUUUGAAGAGACCAAGUCUCAUUAUUAUAUUUACAUUUUUUUAAGACAAGUGAUUAUAUAUUAACAUUAUUAUCAAAAAGCAUUAACAAACAAUUCAAUGCUACAAAUUAAAAGAUUCAAUAACUAAAAUUAUUCGAAGUUCCCUAUUUAUCUCAAAAGGGAUAAGCUCAAAGACACUAUCAACAAACUCUUUUACUUACACAUUAUUUUAUAACUAAAAAAUAGCUUUAUGUUCAUUGACAUUAAUUUUUUUUUUAUGACAAAAAUUUAUAGUGAGUGAAUGAUACCCCAAUCUGAGCAUUGACAUUAAGUUAUGUUAUUUAAUGAUUAAUAUUUGAUAUUUUUUAUUAAUAUUUUUUAAGUUAAAAAUUUAUUAUAAAGAUAAGAGAAACAAAAAAUUGGGAACAUAAACCUAAUCUAGUCAAGGAAAAAAAAGAAAGAAAAUAAAAUUCUUCAAACUAUGACGGUUUUUUUGACCCUUGUGUUAAAAUUAUUUUUUAUUGACAUUAAAUAAUGUCAUGAGUUUUUAUAUUUAGUUAUUAGUAAUAAUUGAUGUUUGACAAAAUUAACUUUAAUGCACAAUACUUUAAAUAAAAUAAAUUAUUUAUAUUCAAUUAUAUUAAACUUUUUACGAUAAAGUUAUUUUAUUGUUCAAACAAAAAGAUAAAGUAUUAUUAUUAUAUUAAUAUAUUUUUUAACACAAGUGAUUGUGAAUUAACAUUAUUAGAAAAAAGCACUUACAAAAUUAAUUCAAUGCUUCGAUAGGUUUCUAUUGUAAAUUGUCACAGAAAUUGGCAGUUCACUCUAAGACUCUAAUUGUGUUUAUCAUAAUCUAAUUUUUUUUAAGCAGUUAAAUAUAUAUAUAUAUAUAUAUAUAUAUAUAUUAUAUUAAUAAAAAUUCAAAAUACAAGACUUACUUGAAAUUUAAACAUAUAAGAAAAUAGUAUAAAAUGAAUCACAAACCCCUCUGAAAAAGAUUAGGAUGUCGUCACACAACAAAAUUUACAUAACAAAAAGUUCUAUAAUCUAAAUUUUUAUUUAUCAAAAGAAAAAUAAUAAAUGUAUAAAUUUAACAAUUUUUUAAAGAAGGUACGUGUAAUAUCAUUGAUAAUCAAUAAAUCCCCUCUCUAAUUAGUCUUAUCUCUAAAAAUUAAAAUUAAAGUAUUAUAACUUUUUUUUUUUACUAAAAAAGUAUUAUAACCUUAAGAGGCUAUUCAAUACAUUAAAAAAGAUUUAUUUUUCAAAAAUCUAACCGUGAAAUUCAGACACACACUAAAUAUAAAACAAAGUGGAGUGUUGUAAAUUUGAUCUCGCGUCUCAGUAUAUUAAAUGUCUUUAAUAAAUUUUAGGUAUAAUUGUUUAUCCGAUCUUUUAAUUUAAUUUCAUGUUGUAAUACUUUAGUCUUUUAUUUAUUUAUUUAUUUAUUUUGAUUUAGUUAUUUAUUUAAUUUUAAGUAAAUAAUUUGAUCUUUUAUGUUUUAAAAUAUUAACAAUGUUAUCAUUUUUUUACACAGAUUCAUCAAAAUUUUCAAACAAAACUCAUAAAAUUAAUUAUCAUCUUCAAUAUGAUACAUAUUUCAUCAAUUUUAUAACUCAAAUAUUCAAAUACACUCAUAUUUUCAUUCUUUAUAUUUUCGAAUUUUUGUAAUAAAAUUAAAUAAAUGACCAAAUAAAAAAAAUUAAAUAAAUAAAGGACUGAAAUGUUAUCUGAAAUUACAUUACAGGACCGUAUAAGCAAUUCUGCCUAAAUUUUAUUAUCUGAACUACACUUGCUUGACGUUAAAAAUAAGAUGUUUAUUAUUCUAUGAACCAGUGAAAAAUUGUUUCCGUAUAAAGUUCUUUUUCAAAUUUCCAUAUCUAAAUUAUCAAAUAUAAGUAUUUUAUUUAUUUUCUAAUAAUAAUAAUAAUAUUACUUUCAAUUAUUGUUAUGCUUUUUUUAUUUAUUUAUAAAAAACAAACAAUAUUAAUUAUUAAGAAAUAUAAACAAUUGUUUUUAAAACAAAUCAACAAAUUUAAUGCUUGUUGAAAAAAAAAUUGUAGGGAUUAAUUAAAUACAAGAUUGUACUUUAUUAUAUUAUAUUAUGAUAUACUUCUGUCUAAUACUUAUUAUCAUAGUUUAUUUUAAUAAAGGCAAACAACAUCUAAUAUUAACAAAUUUAAUGCGUAUUAAAUAUUCAAAAGGAGUAAUUAAAUAAAAGAUAUAUUCUUCACCAGAAAAUAAGAUAACUUUAAAUAUAUUUUCUAGGUUAUGUAUUGUACUUAUUUUAUUCUAUUAUAUUAGAGAAAAGGAUGAUACGAUGACAAUAUAAAAUAAUUUUACACUUAUAAUUAAUAAUGACCAAUAAUCAUCUUAUCACAUAAUUAUAACUUCCAUCAAUCAAUAAUUAUACAAUCAAUCGCUAAUGUUACAUGACAGUUUAAACAAUGCAUGUCCAUUAAAUCCAUUAUCUUAUGCUUCAUUAAAUAUAUUUUGUUUCUUAAUUUUUAAAUAAAUUUUCAUAAAGCUUUGCCAAUAGGACCCUUACAUGUAAUACUCAAAUUCGUUCAGCCAAACAAUUCCAUAUCCCCAUUACAUAUUCCCCAAUAACUUAAUCCUGAAAGUUUUGAACAUCAAUUCUUUUAAAACAAAAAAAUUUUAGGGCCUAGUUUUUUAUCACCAAAAGUUUUACUAUUAAUGCUACGAUUCAGUAAUACAAAACUUUCAAUAUUAUAAAAUACACCCUUAGGAUAAACUAUAAUGUUAAAAGAUUUAAUACUAGUAUCCAAAUUUCUAUCAAGUAAUGUUGAAAUACAAAUAAACCUCUAUAACCCAAACGCAAUAUAGUAAGUAAUAUACAUCUAUACAUGAUUAUAAUGUUCCAAUUUUCUUUAGUUCGUGAUACACACGAGAAGGAUAGAAAUUUACCCAAUAUAGUAAGUAAUGUAUUAUUCCAAUCGCACAAGUUAUGCUCAUACAAACUCCAAACUCUAUUACAUGAACAAAUUGUUAGAAAACAAUCAGAAAAAUUAUGAUAACGAAUCUUUGAUACACAGAUGAUGACUUGGGCAUAUUAUGCAAUAGAAUGUGCUCCCAUGUCUCCUCUCUAAACUUGGAACCAUCACUUUUGUUUUGAUGCAAUUAGAGCCUAAUGAUUCUUAACUAGAUUUAAACCCCAAAAUAAUCCUGUUACCGAGCUCCAAAGUUAUGCCAACCUAUUGACACAAUUUUCUACAAACAAUUAACACACAGGUAACAAAAGCCAACCAUUAGAUUGUCAAACAAAUUCAAAGCAAAAACAUACAUCCAAAUGGAAACCAUGGUACUAGCUUAAGGUAUUUGUUGACAGAUGAAAUUGAACAUAAUAAGAGGGCAAAAAAAGUAAGGGAGCGAAAUGCAAUAUAAAAAUAACAUGCAUUCGUUAAGACAUGAUCAGGAACAGAAAAUGCAUACGAUAUGGAAUGCAUGCUAAAUUAAAUAAUUACAAUUCUACAUGGAUAAAAAUGGAGGCCACCUAUUUUAGAAAUAUUCAUCAUGGAAACAAUAGUAUAAGACGAACAUGCCUACUCUGAGUUAAAUAGAACAAAUUUCUGUUUUACUAUAUAUCAAGUAGUGUUUUUCUUUCAUUUUGUCUUUGAACUAUGAAGCUCCUUAACAUUAAACAUAAUGUGUAGUGCAUAUGCCUGCAACUUAACAGAAAUGCUUAUCAAAUAUAUUGAUAUGAAAUGGCCAAUGUUUUCCUUAUACCAUUAAUUAAGUUUGUUGUUUUUUCUUUAAUAACCUGCCAAAUGCCAAUUAAUAAAAAAUUGCAGUAUUGCUACCGAACUCUUCGUAAUUUAUUUAUUUUAUACUUUCGGAAAGAAAAAAAUUAAAUGCAAAUACAAAAUCUGAAUAUAUUAUAAUUUAAUUCUAGUUUCCUUGUAUAAACCUCAUUAAGUUAAAAAAAUUCAGAGUAAAGAAAAUAAACUCAAAUGCUGAAUACGGGUGAUAAGGGGCCAUCAUUUCCUACAUUUAAUAUGGCCUUUUCUGAUUUUUUCCUUUUGUAUAUGGAAGGCUUGUAACCUACCCCUCUAUAAAAUUGUGAAUUCAACAAGCACUCAUCCACAACAGAGAAGUGACGAAAUAUUUUUUGAUUUACAGUUUUCUGCAACUAUGGAGAAGAACAAAGGCAGAGACUGUGGGAUUUGUGGUAAGUUUUUCUCCAGUGGGAAAGCCAUCGGAGGCCACAUGAAAUCUCACUUAGUCAUACUGCCGAUUCCUCCAAAGCCUGAAACUAUGAAUCAAGCACUAGACAAUUCAGCCGAUUUAACCCAGCCUCCAAUUCAACCCACUUCCUCACUAACUAGCCUUCCCGAAAAGAAACAAACACAUGAUUUCCGAUCUAUGAAACGCAACUUCUUUACCUUCUCUGCAAACUCAAACAGAGAAAAUGAAUUUGUGUUCAUCCCUAAAAUCCCAACCCGCAAAAGAUCCAAAUACUGCAGCAAACUUAAUGCAGUAGACAAUACAAAAACUCAGCUAGAACAAACAAAAUCAAUACUUGACCCUGUUGCACUAGUAAUUGCUGAGAUUUUGAGUACGAUUAAAAGCAAAGAGAGGAACAAACAAAUCAUAAAUGAAACCAACAAAAUGAAGGCAAAAGACAGUGCAGGCAGUAACGAUGACUCCCUUGUUCAAGCACACUCUCGAGCAAGGUUCAUAUGUGAUAUGUGCGGAAAAAUGUUCGGAUCGUAUCAAGCUCUUGGGGGGCACAAAGCAAACCAUAAGAAAACUAAGAAUCCAUCGCAAGAAGGUGGUUACUCUGAUGAUGAAAAAAGUGACAACAAUGGUGAUUUUACAGAUCAGAAACUUUUUCAGUGCCCAUAUUGCUACAGAGCGUUCAAGUCUGCCAAAGCGGUCGGUGGACACAAGAAGGUACACUUUCCCAAUACUAUGGUUGCUAAUGCUCGUACCAGUGCUAUUGAUUUUCUAGGUGUUCGGUAGAUCUCAAUAUUCAAGCUCCUAGAGAAGAUGAAGUGGAUAGCCACACCGGUAUUGAAUUUUCCAGUCCCCUGUGAUGAUACUUCAGUCUCACAAUGCGAUUGCAGAGAUAAGAAAUUACAGACUUAAUUUGUAUCUCUGUACACAGUUAUGAACUGUGUUCAGAUCUGAACGUUAAGAACUAUAUAUGCUUUCAAUCAUUUUAAGGUUUAACAAUUUGACAUUGUAGGUCUAUAUUUAUAUUUAUGUAAGAGAGAUCUUUGUUUUGAUUAUCAUUUAAGUGUUCUUGCCCGUAGUUUCUAUCUUCUUUGUCUGUUAGUUCAUGUUGCUUAGGGGAACUAUUUCUCCAUAUCUCCGUAACUGUGAAGCAUGAGUACUUUUAAGAUGGUGAAGUACCCGUACCGAGUACUUACCCGGUACCGAUACUCGUACCAUACUCAUGGUUACUCGUUUUUUCUUCAUUAUUCCUGCGCAAGUGAAAUUGGUGAUUUUUUUAUACAUUAAUAUAAUAUUAUUUAUGCAUUUGAGUUUUUUUGUUGUUGUAACCUAACACAAUUUUUGACUUUUUAAACUUUAAUUAUGAUUUUGUACGGUGAAUUGAACAAUUUAGGUCUCUUAGUUAAAUUAUAUAAAAAAAAAGUCAUGAUUUUUAUUGAUGUACCCCAUACUUUAAUUUUACUUAAAAUACUAAUCCUGUACCCAUACUCGUAUCUGGUACCGUACGCGUACCACCUAUGCAUCAUAGCUCUGUAAAGACCAAAAUAAUCAUAUUUACUUUUGUUUGCGCAUGUAUGGUUUUAGAUCAAACUUCACCAGCUCCUGCUUUGUAUUUUUGAAUGCUGGUGAAAAUGUAGAAAGCUUAGGAUGACAGGCUUCUCUAAUGGGACAUUAGAAAUCUCUAAUUGCCACAAGGCCUGUAUUUAUGAAAUAUGACUCCCCAAACUAUGGCUUAAAGUUAAACUAGUGGACUCACAACCGUAUGAUUAGGCUCAAGUGGUUAAUGAGUUUCAAUUAAGGACGAAUACAUCAUGAGUACCCAAGUUCAAACCUUGACUGAAACAACUUUACUAACCUUUCGGUCGAACUCUAGAUUACUAGGACCCCUUUCCCUUGGAAAAUAGAGAGUUACGACAAAAAGCAAAUGGACUCCCAUGUAUUAUACAAAGGAGUAACACACAUAUCACACAUAAAAUGCUGAACAACAAUUGUAAACAAAGUUUCUUUGUUAUUAUAUACUCGUAGAAGCUUUGACAUAAUUACAAGUAUUGUCAAUGUCCUUAUUACUUAGAUACAAAAACAUUUCAAAUUUCUUUGAAUCUAGGAAGAUAACUUUUGUUUAAACUUUGAGUUGAACCAUAGGAAAGGUUCAGUGCCAAACUGCUAGGCAGAUGCUCUGAUAUGGUUUUCUAGGAGAGAAAUUAAGAUUUGAUGAAUUAUUCCUUUUUCAAAAUUUGAAAGCUUCUGUGAGUUCAUCUGAUAGCUUGCAAAGAGGCUCGGUGUAAGAGAAAUAGCUCAGAAAUCAUGAUCCGACAAAAGCAGUAUCAGAUCUAUCCCCAAUAGUUUAGAUAUGCCAAUAUGAUUCCAAAAAUAACAAAACAGAGAUACCGGAUUAUGCAAAAGUGUGGCGCCCUCUAAUGGGCCCCAGGUGAAUGAAAAAAACGAAGCAGACAAAACUGUACAGAUGGCAACUAUUUCAAAUAAUAAAACGAGGAAAAAAGCAAAACCCAAGCAGUUGAGAAGGCGGCUGAAUGGAGUCAUAUAGGAACUGCAGAUGUAUAUGUUGCAUGUGUGCGCGCGUGUGUGCGUGUGCAUGUGCGCGUUACACUAAUUUAUAGAUUCUUAAACAUAAUACCUAAAUUGAUGAAUAUAGAUAGAUACUAGUCAGUGUUGUCAGUAGCAUAUCACGGAAAAUAACGGUUUGUUCAAAUUCUACUACACAACAAUGCUAUAUAUAGCACCGCUAUUUGACAACGUUUUGUACUAAAUAGCAUAUUGCUGAAAAAUAGUUAUUUGUUCAAAUUCCACCACGCCAUAGCGCUGCUAUAGCCAUGAUUUAAAACUACUAAUACUAGUAACAUAUGGCAUAUGGACAGAACGGAAUGGAACUUCAUAUUUUGCUCUGUUCUCUUUGGUUCCAUCAUUUUUUAGUGAAAUCAAAAUUCGUUACUUCUUUUACUUUUUGUCGAAUUUACUCUGUUAUGUUCUAAAUUAUUUAUGAAAUGCGACCUAAGGUUACAUUGUAGUUGCUCUAAUUACUAUAGUUUAACUGAUACUGAUACUAUACCACGUACAAUUAUCCUAUUUACUUACUACACUCCCUGCCUUUCUGUUGCGGGAAAAUAAAAAUAUAAUACGGAAGGCCCUAGAGGACCGAGAUGCAGGACGCCAAUUGAUGAUGAAAAAAAUGGAUUUCUCCAUGAUGUGUCAUCUAUCAAUCUCUGCUCAUGCCUAACGCAACUUUUAUUAGUUAGAGUUUUAUUCUUUGAUUAAAGAAGGAAUGAGAUAGAGAGGGAUUUUUCAGAUUAAGUUAGAGUUUCAAUUUUUAACAAAAAAGUAAAUGGGGAGAGAAGGAAUUAUGAGAUUUUAUUUUUAUUUUUAGGAGAAACAACGCCUUACGUAGAGAAGAUGAGUAAAAGCUUGCCACAUGUGAAUCCUAAAUGAUGUGACAUUCGCCACAUGCGCAUCUCUGCGAAGACUGAUGGAGUCAUCUUUUAGGAAUCACUUGAGUGAUUUCUGUCUUCUGAGGACAAAUUCAACCAAUCCCUUAUCUUUCAAGGACCAAAAUGAUUAUUAAUAUUAUUCUAUAACAUUGUUGCACUAUUAUGUACGUAUAUUAGUGGAUUAGAUUAGUCAAGCAUGAAAAAUUAGAAACAAAAUGUUUCUUAAAAAUAUACUUCCUUAAAAGCAAGUAUAGUUCCAUUCCAUUGCACGGUUUAUUAGAAAGUGGUAGAAACAGCAUGCCAUCUUUCACACAACCCGACUAUAAAAAAAUCAUUUGACCUGAUUCAAUUACUUGUGAGAAAGAUGGUUGAUCUCUACAUAUAUAGUAUUAGAAAAUAAGAAUGAUCGAGUUACUCGCAACUUACAAGAUGGGACUCCACAUACAUGAAGGGAGGCACAAGCAAGCAUCUGAUGGUAGCACUUUGUGAUGAAUCUGAAAUACACACCUAUCUUAGAAGUUUAGAACUAAACAAAAUUGACAGAUGCAAGUACAAGGAAAGACCAUAGAAGUGCGAACAACAGAAAACAGCUAAUCUAAAGGAACUCGGUCACAAUCACAGACACCGAAUUCCUUUCCUCUGAAAGAUAUUUGGUUCAUGAUGUUGUGUGAAGGACACCCCAAAAUCCCAGAUACAAAAACAUAAUUGACAAAAUUCACAACAUCACAUCACAUGGAAUUGAAACAGUAUUGUUAGACAGCUGGAAGCGGUGGAUGAUGAAGAUAGCACAUAGGCUCAAGCCCCCUUACAUCAUCUGAAAUAUUAAGUCUUUUAAAUAGUUGUUAAUCAUGGAUUUUCAAAGACUCACAUUUCAUAUUUUUCAUUUUCAAUAUGGUGCUCCUAAGUCCUAAUAUAUAAUUUAUUUAAGAUAAUGACAUCUAAACUUGACUUUGGCAACUGAGAAGAAAGUAUCGUGCAUCGAGUCAAUGAGGAAUCAAUUGUUUGUAUUACAUACAUAUGUGAUAUAUAUGAUAAAUUAUGGAUUUUCUUGUGUUUGACUUUUUUCUUCCUAAACUAAAAAAAUGGUUUUCUAAUUCUAUUGAAUAGUGACGAUAAUAAUAAUGAAUCAGCCCACCAGCAUUUAGCUAGAUGAUGCAAGUUGCCUGUUGAGCCCAUCAGCAUUUAGCUAGAUGAUGCACUACCAAUAAUGAAUAACUGAUGAUGUGCUACUGGCUAAUGAUGUUAUCAUUUGGAGGUAAACUCAAUUCAAAAUAAAUACUAUACUGAGAAAUUUUCCAAUUUUCUUUGUAUAGCUAGAACGACAAUCCAAAGUACUAGUAUAAAUUAUGAUUUUGGAUCCAAGACAACGAAAAUUUAUUGUGCUGCCCUUUCUAAUCUUUAAUAUUUACUCCCAUUGGUUUAGGACAUUUUGCAUCUAGAAAAGUGUAACGCAUAGUCUUAAUCACAGAUGAUAUAGACCUGGAAAACUACUGAUUCAACCAGUCAUGAACCCAGUCCAUUCAACAACAAAAUUUGGCUAAUCUUAGAUCCAUCAAGAAUUAGAGAACCGAUCAAACCAGUCCAAAACUAGUGAGAAAGAACCACUUUGAAUUGGUUAGUUUCUAUCUUUUAUUGACUUUAAUAAACAAUAAAUAACCAAAUGAAGGUGCAAGGAGUCAAGGACCUAUAUAGAAUGAUUAUUAUUUAAUUUUAUUUUACAAGACAUAUGAUAUUAUCAUUUUAUGCUGCUUAAUGUUUUCACUUAGCUAUAUUUCUUGACAUUUUCUGUAAGUUAACUGCUUAACAUAUAUAAUAUCAAAAACAUUUACUUAAUCAUCAGUAAUUCGACCAGCGAUGAACCACUGAACCAUGAACCAAAUAUUUGUUACUUUUCACUAAUUCAAUGACAACCUGGUUUCAAAACAUUAGUCUGAAUUUAGAAAAAUAAAAUAAAUAAAUUGUUAUUACACUUUUGGUCCUUCAAUCUUGAUUCUUUAAUAUCUUCUGUUAAAAUUUAAUCCACACAUACUUUAAAUGGCUAAAUGUUAUAGUCAAAUCUUCCUGUCAAUUUCCCUUCAUCCAAAGUUCUCCAAUUUUUUGUUUAUUCUCAAAAUCUCAACAAUUUAAAUAUAGUAAAUCAUUUAAAACCUUUUUCCACUCAAAAUACAUAAAUUCAAACAUAUUUCAUCAAAACUUUGAAAAGUCCCAUGUUCCUCAUCUUUGAAACCCUAACACCACUUCUCACAAUAUCCUUUAAAUCUCAUAAAUUUUCCACCAAAUGUUUUACUUUUAAAUCAUUUCUAACCCUGAUUCUUUUAGAAUCCCUAAUUAUUUGAAUUGAAAAUGAGAAUAAUGUUUCUUAAGGUAAAGAGAUAAAAAUGAAAUGAUUAAAUUGUAAUAAAGAAUUAAAAUACUGCGGUUGUUUUUGGAACCUAGAGACAGUUGUUUGCCAUACACCAAGGUGUUGACUUUCUAGGAGAUACAACUUAGUGAUACUAUAUUUAUUUAUUUGAAAAGGCAAAAGAAAUUUUAUUGAUAUAAUGUGAUUCUUGGAAGCACAGGGAGUGCCACACAAGAAUAUAACAACAUUCAUAAAGAACAUCAACACAGCAAAUGUCAUCACCCAAUACUACACCAAUUCUACAAGACAAAGCUAAUAUACAUUGCACUUAAGCAUGAAGAGACAAAAUUUUGACACUUCUCCCAAGAUAAUUCUGACAUUUUCAAUUAUUACAAAUUUAAAAUUAAUUUUAUUACAUUUAAGAUAAAAGUAUCGUAACAUAAAUCAUGUUAGUACACACCCAUUUUAUUUUUAUGAAAUCAACUUGAUUCAAAAAUAAGUUUGCAAACUCCAACUCAAGCACUCCCUUAAUGAUAAAUGCAAUAAGAUGAGAUAAAAAAAUGUGUUGUGAAAUAGCGGCGCUGUAUCGCUAUAGCAUACCGGAUUUUGAUGAAUCCGCUAUGAAAACCGCAAUGCUAUCCUAGUUUCACUAUUAGGAGAAUAGCGGCUGCUCUUCCAAUUUUUGGUAGCCAAAUUAGCGGUAUUAGCGGAGAAAAGAGAACUUUAGGGCCUUUUAAAAUAAUAAUACUGAAGAUUUUGCAUAAGUGCCAAACAUGGCCUAUUUUUAUAAUAGAAAAACUAAAGAGUUAGUGAGUAUUACUCCAAUAUUCACCGAUAUAUGUAUACCUUUCAAUAUAUAAGCUAUGCUAUGGCUCAUUCGCUCUUUUUAUUUACACGCAACAUGUCUUUUUUAUAUAUAAUUUACUUAUAUCAACCUCUAUGCGGCCUCUGCUAUUUGACUGCAACGCUAUCCGCUAUUUCACAUAGCGGAUUUUUGGUGUUUCGCUAUUUUCCACAAUCCGCUAUUGAUAAUACUAUAUAGAAUUAUUAUUUUAUAAUGGAAUGAAAGAAAAAUCUUGUUUUAUUAUACAGGAAGUUAACAAAGUUGUACUAUAACUUUGUUAUAUCUAUUAUUCUAUAUUCUAAAGAAACUAAAUUUUAAUUAUUUGGAAUUAUCUGUGGCAUCAGUUAAUGUUUCAAUUAAUAACUUUAAGAAAAUGUAUAAAUUCUUUUAAUUUGAAAGCUAUUUUCUUUUCAAAUAAUUUUUUUCUGGUGUAGGUGGAGUAGGGUAAUUACUAAUUUAGUUAUUUGUGUUGUUGUAAGGAUAAUUGUGGUAUUUUAUUUUUAAGAUCUUGUAUUGUAUUAUAGAAUUGUGUUUUAUGUUAUGAAUCACCUCCAAAUUUUUAGAUAAUAUACUUAAUGCUAUUUAUUAGGACUUGACUAAGGGCUGCCCUUGUUGCUAUAGAUAAAUACCGAUAGACAGUGUAGCAGCAUCCAUUACUAUCCACUCAAAGUCAUCUAAGAUUCUAAGUCACCCCGAACCCACAUUACGAAUUGUUUGUAAUCACUGGAGGAAAGAAUGGGAUCCUUUGGUUUACCAUCUCAUGAUGAUUUCAAUAAUUGUAAUUACUCAUAUACACUGUCAUACAAAGGUGUGCAUUGACAUUAUCAACUAAAUAGUACUUUUGGCAUUUGCAUUUUUUUACAUGGGCACCUCAACUUUCCUAUUCAUUUAUUACACUGAUCUUGCCAUAAAUUCGAUAACCCCGCCAUAAAUUCAUUUGUAACUCUUUCGAUAUCAUGAUUCACCCUUUUACCCAUCCAUUUAUGAAGCUCGGUAACUUGCAUUUUAUUUCAAAUUAACACAUAAGUUAGAACCUGUCAAUUAGCAACCAAGCAAGCAAGAAGAAAUCCAGAAUAAAUAAAAAUAUCAUCCUUCUUCUACCCUAGGGUUUCUCACCUAGAAUAAUACAUAUAGGCAGCAUAUAUACAUCUGGCUACUUUAAGCCAGUGUUGUCAGUCGCAAAUUGUGGGAACUAGCGUUUUGUUCAAAUUCUGCUAUCCUAUAAUGGUACCAUAGUCGUUAUUUGCCAACACUUCGUACUAAAUAGCAUAUCGCAAAGCAAUAGCGGUUUAAUUAAAUUCCACUAUACUAUAGUGCCGCUAUUUGACAACACUGCUUUAGGCAAUCAGAGCGAUAGUUAUUACGACAAGAGUCAAGCAAAUACUUACCUUUUGCAAAGUCUGGACAUACUUUGAUAUGCAAACCUCAGUCGCAAAAUUUUGAUCUGCAAUUAAUUGUGAUGCAUAGUAGAAGUCAAAAUUAAUUCAACUUUAUAUAGUACAUGCAAAAUAUUCACAUUAUUAGAAUACAUAGAGAAAUCUAGUUAAAUGGUAAUUUUCAUAGGCAUAAACAUAGUUGUAAAGCAUAUUUAGCAAGGUUUUAUAAAAAGGAACACGUCUGAGAAAACAGCUGCGACAAAACGGUAUCGGUACCCUCACCUUUCGCUAGUGAAGAAAAAUCACGGAAAACGGCUGCAACAAAACAUCGUUACGGGCGCAACGACCAUGACGAAACCUGUUCAGAAAAAAUAUAUCCGAGAAUCCCAUUUUUCCAUUCCAAAAGGAUAAAAUUAUUUUUUCAGAAUAAAUUUGAACAGUACCUUACUUCCUUCUCUGGUUCUAUUCAACAUUCUAUAAUCUCUCAACUAGUAUUAUACAUUAUAUACUUUGAAUAAGCUUUGUGCAAUUGGUGAUUAAUUCCCAACGCAACAUCGGCAAGUAACAGCCGGAAUCGCGAAAUCCUCAACACAACCACAACCGCUAAUUAAAACCUUGAAAUUUAGUAUAAAUUUAAAAACAAAAAGCGAAUCAAUGAAUGUUUCAGCAUUGGAUCUCUAACUAGUCUAAUUUCUUGUCUGUCAGAAACCAAGAAAAUAAAAUCCAAACAAUAAAAAUUCAGUCCAGUGUUUUUGAAACCUAUGUUAAGAAGUUUGAGUGAAAUAAGGGACAUGAAUUUUAAGAAAAAAACAAAUUAACAUGAUGAGAAAAACGAACAAAUUGAAGAGUUAAAGCAUUUGAAUAGUAAGUUUACAUAGCACACUAACUUUAAGUAUUUAUAUCUCUAUGUUGUUAAUUGCGCAUCUCGCGGUGCGGAGUGGAGUGAAGUGAAGCACUGCUGCGUUGGUUUGAGCAGGGGCGUCUAUUCCGGCCGCAAAUCUCCGGCUCUGUUUUCCGGGAAGUUGUUACCCCACUCCGACGUGUUUCUGAUUGAUAAUGAUGUUACACGGGUAAGAGGGGCAGCGUCUGUUUUUUUGAGAGUUAGCUUUUGGACCCCCAAUUUAAACUUGUACCUCCCAAUUUGUUAAAAAUUAAGUUUUAUCCUUAAUAAAUUCAUUCACGUGAGCGGUAAAAAAAUUUACUCUAAAAUCUGAGUCCUCGUUGAAAUUUCCGGUAAGUAAUUUUUUUCAACUAAAUUUCCGGUAGUUAUAGUUAUUACCGGAAAUUUGGUCAAUGAAAUUUCCGGUAGUUGUAUUUUCAAUACCGGAAAUUUUAAAUUUCCGGAAGCUACCGGAAAUUUCAAAAAUUUUGAAAAAUCCGGUAAUUAGUAUUUGUUCACCGGAAAUUUCAUUUUUUGAAAUUUCUGGUAGUUAAUCCGGAAAUUUCAAAAAUCCGGUAGUUAUUUUUUUUUAUUUUUUUUUUUGAAUAUUUUUUGAACUUGUUUGUUAUUUUAUUUUAAUUUUUUUUUUGAAAUAGGGAUGGAAAACACAAAACCAGUAUUUAUAGAUUUAACUAAAGCAUUUACAACUGAUCAAAUUUUUGAGUCACGAGAAGCUGUCAUAUCAUGGGCAAGAGAGAUAGGUCGACAAAAUCGAGUAGCAGUUAUCAUUACUCAAUCAAACGUAGAGACUGGAAAGAGAGGAAGAAAGUCAAAAUUAAUUCUUGGUUGUGAUAGAGGUGGACAAUAUAAGUCAAAUAAAAAUGACACAGGUACUUCAACUAAAAGGUGUGGAUGUCCGUUUAAACUUAGAUCGAGACCACUGAAAAAUGAUGAAGGAUGGAUUAUUAGUUUAAUCUGUGGACUUCACAACCAUGAGUUAGUAGCUACUUUUGACGAGUUGACAAAAUAUCACGUUGCACCGAGACACAUCUUGUCAUAUUUGAGAGAUCGAGAUACGGAGAAUGUGACUAGUAUCUAUCAAAUUUACAAGCGACGGAGUACAUACAUGAAGAAUUUGAUGGGACCUAGAACUGAUAUGCAUCAUUUGUUGAAGUUACUUGAAGGUGAGAAAUAUACUUGUUGGAGUAGGACUCAUGAGGACUCCAACGUUGUGAGGGAUAUGUUUUGGACGCACACAGAUUCCAUAACUUUGCUUAACAUGUUCCCUCUUGUAUUGAUCAUGGAUAGCACCUACAAAACCAACAAGUAUAGGUUACCGUUGUUUGAAAUUGUUGGUGUAACUUCAAGUGGGUUGACAUUUAAUGUUGCAUUUGCUUAUAUGGAUUCUGAACGUCAAGACAACUUUUGGUGGGCAUUGGAGAAGUUAAAAGAGUUGUUUUUUUCAAACACGCCAUUUCCUCAGGUGAUUGUGACUGACAGAGAACUGGCUUUAAUGAAUGCAAUUAAAGUUGUAUUUCCAUCUUCAACAAAUUUACUUUGCCAACUUCAUAUUAACAAAAAUGUUGGAGCCAAAUGCAAACAGUAUAUAUUAAAGAAAGACAUGCAAGAACCCAUUCUUGAGUUGUGGAGGAAAAUUGUUUAUUGUUCUGAAGAGAAGGAGUACGAGGAACUUUUGCAAGUAUUUGAGCAAGCAUGUGUCGAUAAUAUUAUUUUCUUUGAAUACGUCAGAGACACAUGGUUGAAUCCUCAUAAGGAAAGAUUUGUUGAAGCAUGGACCAAUCGAGUAUUGCAUCUAGGAAAUACUACGACUAAUAGGUAUGUCAUUAAAAUUUCACAUUUUGUAUUUUAUUUUAUGCAUGAUAUAUAAUUAAAACUUCACAUUUUGUAUUUUUUUGUUUAAAUAUUAGGGUUGAGUCUGGUCAUUGGUCAUUGAAGAGAUUUUUGGAACACAGUAAAGGAGAUUUUUGUAAGGCAUGGAAUGGUAUGAAUGACAUGUUGAAGUUUCAAAUUAUUAAGAUCAAAGGUUCAUUUGAGAUAAGUAAAGGUCGCAAAGAGCAUAUACACAACAAUCCAUUCUUUGAGAAAUUGACUUGGGUGGUAUCCAAGAAAGCCUUAGGUGAUAUUGUUGAAGAAUACAAGAGAGUCAGUUAUGUCGGUAACGAUAAAGAUGUGUGUUGUUGUAUACUUAGAAAGACUCAUGGAUUACCUUGUGUAUGUGAGUUAGCACGAUACAAGAUGAAAUGUGUUCCAAUCCCAUUAGAUGUUGUUCAUAUACAUUGGAGGAAAUUAACCUUGAAUAGUGAUCAAGAGAAUGAACAGUUGACAAAUGAUUCAGAGUUGGACAUUACAUCGGAGAUGGAUAUAAUUUGGAAAACGUGGAAAACACUUAAUGUUCCUGGAAGAAGGGCAUUAAAGAGCAAGUUGCGUGAAAUAGCAUAUUCGGAGACAACAUCAAUGUGUGCACCAGUGGAUAAAAUCAAAACAAAAGGUGGUGUUAAGAAAAAAGGCAAUAAGCCGAAGGGAUAUGACGUAUAUCGCGACCCAUCAUACUUUGAGCAUGUUGAUACUCAAGUCUCCCAACAAGCAUCCAAACAAGUCUCCCAUCAAGCAUCCAAACAAGUCUCCCACCAGGUUAAAAAAUAUUUCCACGAGUUUCCUUCUUUAAUUCAUCCAUAUAUUGAAGACAUAGUUAAUGUUAAAGCAGAUGGAAACUGUGGAUAUCGUGCUAUUGCUGCUUUACUUGGUUAUGGUGAAGAAUACUGGAGCAUUAUACGUCGGCAGUUGUAUACAGAGAUUAAGUCCAAACCUGAUUUAUAUGCUGCAUUAUUCAAGGAACGUUUGCAAGAAGUGACAGAGUCUUUACUUGUAACUGAGUUGGAAAACCAAGCUAACGAGAAGUGGAUGACCAUUCCUGAUAUGGGUUACGUGAUAGCAACAAAAUAUAAUCUCGUUCUUGUUACAUUAGCAAAAACUUUUUGUUUGACUUUUUUCCCAUUGAGGGGUGCACAUAAUGGAGAUUUGUCACGUGAUCGUGUUAUCAGCAUUGGUUUUGUUAACGAAAAUCAUUGGGUUCAAGUUAAAUUGAAAUCUGCAUGUCCGUUACCACCACUUGCAUGGCAUUGGAAGAAGCAUCGUAGCGAUGAGUCUACAUCAUGGGCUAUCGCUUAUGCAGGACGUCUACAACAUUGGGGUUCUUUAGAUUUAGAAAAUAAUUCAGAUUAUAUGUCUUUGGUAGAUGAUUGACACUUUUGAGUUGUAUGUUGUUUUAAAUGAUAUGAUUGACACUUUAAAUGUUGUUUGAAAUUUAGAUGCUUGCCACUUUUAAUUUGUAUGUUCAUUUAAAUGAUAGGAUUGCCACUUUAAAUGUUGUUUGGAAUUUAGUCGCUAAUAAUAACUCAGAAUAAUAAAUAAGUCGUUAAUAAUAACUCUGAAUAAUAAAUAAGUCGCUAAUAAUAACUCUGAAUAAUAAAUAAGUCGCUAAUAAUAACUCUGAAUAAUAAAUAAGUCGCUAAUUAAUUAAGUCUGAAUAAUAAAUAAGUCGCUAAUUAAUUAAGUCUGAAUAAUAAAUAAGUUACUAAUAAUAACUCAGAAUAAUAAAUAAGUCACUAAUUAAUUAAGUCUGAAUAAUAAAUAAGUCGCUAAUAAUAACUCAGAAUAAUAAAUAAAUCGCUAAUAAUAACUCUGAAUAAUAAAUAAGUCGCUAAUAAUAACUUUGAAUAAUAAAUAAGUCGCUAAUAAUAACUCUGAAUAAUAAAUAACUAACUAAAUAAGUCUGAAUAAGUCGCUAAUACAAUAAGUCUGAAUAACAAAUAACUCGCGAAUAAUAAAUUAAGUCUGAAUAAUACAACUAUAAUACUACUGAUAAUCUCCUUCUCUAGAAAUGUAUAAAGCUCUCUCUAAUAAGACACACAUCUGAUCUUCAGGACCACCCAUAUUGCAAAUCUAAACUCUGCUGUAUAAGACCACCAACUGCGUGACAUCGUGUACACCUAGUAUCGGGACCAGCAUCAUGACUAUGACCAGCAUUAGGACCAGGACCAGGACCAACAUCAGCAUCAUAACUAGGACCAACAUAUGCAGCAACAUAAGGGAUCAUCCGAGGAUGAGAUAUCCUAUAAUACCACUGGAUGUAUCCCUCAACACACUCAUAGGGAUAUGCAGCUGGAUGCAAUCUAGCUCGAAGUGAUCGUACAGAAUUCCGGUACAUACUCCAUUCAACGUUGACAUCACGUGCAACAAGCAUCGGUGGUGUAGGAGGAAUGUGUUGAGUAUACUCAAACUGUCGUAUGCACCUCUCGGGUAAAUACGGAACCAUCGUGAAACACCAACGAAUGUAUCUUGUAAAUAAUGACACAGACUGAAAUCGUGUCACAUCGUUUUCAUCGUAAUUCGGUGCCCAGAUAAUAUUUGUAUCCCUCAAAGUAUCCAACUUUGCCCUGUAAUAUGCAACAUUCCCAGAUGUUUGUUUUGCAGUCCAACGAAACAUCCGUGGCAUCGAGGAAAUAUGUUCAUCCAUAUCCCGUUUACAAAUAUCAGAAAAAUGUUCAUAAAUAAGUCUGUAAAUAAUUGAAAUGUAGUAAAAUUAUUAAGGUGAUGAAAUAAUUAAAAAAAAUAUAGAUAAGUAUAAUAAAUAUAAUAAAUAUAAUAAAUAUAAUAAAUAUAAUAGUACCUGAAAUAAAGAUAAAUAUCCUCCAAUCUGUUUGGUUGUAGGCAAUGUACUAUCUCUAAGAUAGUCAUAUAACACAACAAGUGCAGCCGGUCCCCAUGCCCAUUUACCACAACUAUCAAGAUCUUGAAACAGAAAGAGAUAUUUUGCAGAUACAAGUGUAAAACUUUUAUCCGCAAGAAUGGUACAUCCUACCAAAUGAAGUAGAUAUGCCCUAGCUGCACAGUCAUAUCUUCGUUCAUGAAGUUUCUUANNNNNNNNNNNNNNNNNNNNNNNNNNNNNNNNNNNNNNNNNNNNNNNNNNNNNNNNNNNNNNNNNNNNNNNNNNNNNNNNNNNNNNNNNNNNNNNNNNNNNNNNNNNNNNNNNNNNNNNNNNNNNNNNNNNNNNNNNNNNNNNNNNNNNNNNNNNNNNNNNNNNNNNNNNNNNNNNNNNNNNNNNNNNNNNNNNNNNNNNNNNNNNNNNNNNNNNNNNNNNNNNNNNNNNNNNNNNNNNNNNNNNNNNNNNNNNNNNNNNNNNNNNNNNNNNNNNNNNNNNNNNNNNNNNNNNNNNNNNNNNNNNNNNNNNNNNNNNNNNNNNNNNNNNNNNNNNNNNNNNNNNNNNNNNNNNNNNNNNNNNNNNNNNNNNNNNNNNNNNNNNNNNNNNNNNNNNNNNNNNNNNNNNNNNNNNNNNNNNNNNNNNNNNNNNNNNNNNNNNNNNNNNNNNNNNNNNNNNNNNNNNNNNNNNNNNNNNNNNNNNNNNNNNNNNNNNNNNNNNNUCUCUCAGCAAAAGCAGAUAUCAUAUUACCGUCAAUCAUAUGCAAAAUACAUCUUUUUAGAGGACGUAAUCCAGAUAUAUUAAUCCAAUGAUCUAUUUGAGCAGGUAAAUGAUAUCUAAUAUCAAUGAAUUUGUCUUGCUUUUUGCCAUUCGAAACAACUUUCAAGGCACGUCUAUCCUGUUUAAUUAAAAAUAACACUAUUACAAAUAUAUUAUAAUCUUAUACUACAAAUAAAUUAUAAUGUGUAAUAAAAUAACCUAUACUACAAAUAUAUUAUAAUAUGUAAUAAAAUAAAUUAUUUACUAACCUGUCCAUUCCACACAUUAAUUGCAAUAUGAUGCUCAUAAUCUUCAAGGACAGAAAGAUCAUAAGGACCUCCAGGAAACAUGGGUUCUUCAGGCUGGUGUUGCUGACCAUGUUCAUCAUCAAACUGUUGCUGCUGCUGAUCAUGUUCAUCAUCAAACACAUGAUCCUGCUGGGGCUGCUCAUCCUGGGGCUGGUUAUCGUGUUCUGCAUCAAACAUAAGAUUUUGCUGGGGCUGCUCAUCCUGGGGCGCAUGCCUUUCCUCAUUUCUCCUUCUCCUUUUUUCAACAGCAGCUCUUCUAUUUGAUUGUGUAGGAGGCCGAACUCGCAAAUGAUCACCACCGUCAGAUUUUCCUCCUCUGGUCUUCACUAACAAAAUUCAAUAAAAAAAUUAAAAAAAAUUAAAAAUUUACACAGUGUACCGGAAAUUUGAAAAAUCCGGUAGUUCAAAAUGCAUACCGGAAAUUUCAAAAAUGAAAUUUCCGGGAAUGCAUCCGGAAAUUUCAAAUUUCCGGUAUUGAUUUUGAACUACCGGAUUUUUCAAAUUUCCGGUUUGCCUUCCUGGAAAUUUCAAAAAUGAAAUUUCCGGUAUGCAUUUUGAGCUACCGGAAAUUUCAAUCCUCUUGAAAUUUCCGGUAAAAUUUUUUUUUCCGGAUUUUUCAAGUGUGGGGUAAACUGUUUUCAUUUUUUUUUCUUAUUUUGACUUUUACUGUUUUUUUUAGGGUUAUUUUGGGUAUUUCACUCAAAAAAACAUUAAGUUAUCAUUUUUUUUUCUUAUUUUGACUUUUACUGAUUUUUUUAAGGUUAUUUUGGGUAUUUCACUCAAAAAACAUUAAGUUAGGGGGUAUAAGUUUAAAUGGGGGGAGGUACAAAAGCUAACUCUCCUGUUUUUUUCUUUAUGGGCCUCGUUAAACUGAAGUGGAAUGGGCUUCAAAUUAGAAUUUUAUCUUAUUACCACUUGUAGUACAUGUAAUAAUAUAAAGUUUUAAAUUAAGUUUUUUCUUUCAUAUUUUCGAAAGUUUCCUUCAAAUUAUAUUAUAAUACACGCACCUCUACAUCUUAACUUCCCACUUCCAUUUUAAAUUAACAUUUUAAAAGUUUCGUAUUGAUUAAAAAUUUUGAAAAUCGGGAGAAAAAAAAACUUAAUUUGAAACUUUUUUGUUCUAAAGGUUCAAAAAUAAUUGUUUUGAAAUUUAAAAAAAUUAUUUACUUUUUAUAUUUUGUAAAUUUUUAAACUUUCGAAUGGUGGAGUUAUUCAUGUAAAGUUUCAAAAUAGGGGGUGAAAAAAUAAAUGCUAAAAUGUUUUGAAGAUUUUAUAGAUAGUAAAAAGAGCAAAAAUAUAAUUUUAAGUAAGAUAGAGGUGAGAGGUUAAAGUAUGGAGUGCAUGGUAAAAACCUCAAGGAUUUAUUAUUUAGAAAAAUAAUAUAAAGGACUUUCAGUCAAAAAAGAAGUAAUAAUAUAAUAGACUAUACAUUUGUACAUCAAUAUUUUUAAUACUAGCAAAUCAAUUUCACUUAUAGUUGAAUGAAGUAAUUUAUUAAAAUUAGUUUGGGGUUAGAAUAUAGAUUAACACUAUCAAAUUUUUAAGUUUUAUAUUUUAAAUAUUUUUUGAUUUGUUGUGAUUUUUAAUUUAUUUUUUUGAUUAAGAAAAUAAUUUAUAUAUUUUAGGAUUAAAUUGUAUAAAAAAAUGUAUAAGUAUUAUUGGUUCAAUCAACCUUUUAAUAUGCAAUAUAUAAAUAGUGAAAUAAAUGAAUUAUUGAGAACCUAAUUUAACUAUUGAUUCAAAUUUUGAUAAUAUAAGUACACUUUUUUUUAGAGUACUUAGAAAUUGUUCUAAGACUAAAGAAUUUUGUUUUAGUCUGCGUAAAAAAGGUUUACAUUCUAUCUUACUCAUUUUAAAUUUUUAUUUUUGGUCUUUGAUGUUAUCUGGCUAUACAAAAUCACUUAGGUGACAAUUAUGGUCAACAAUUUUAAUUGAUGAGACAUCUUAAUCAACAUAAUUUAUUAAAAUAAAUAAAUAUAAAUAAAGAUUAAAGAACUUGCAAAUUAUAUGUAAACGUAAAAAAUAGAAACAUUGUUAUUCAUCAUCCAUAAAACAAAAAUCGCUAUUUUUAUUGAAAAACAAUUUAACGAAUUGUUAGAAAUAACAUAAUCCCAAAACAAGUGAACAUAAAUUCAGCAUUGUUGAAACUUCGCUUGAAUGUGGUAACCUCCACAGUAAGUGUGGUGAAAUCGGUUCGAUUAUCAACUUAGUUAUCGAUUAUGUCACUGGUUUGCUCAACAGAAGUUUAAAUACAAUGCGAUGUAAAUCUCUUGAGGCAUCAAAAAAGGUAACCCUUUUAUUCCUUCGAUGAAAUUAACACUACUUGGAGAAGUGGAGGGGUGAAGUUUAGAGAGGUUCAUUCAAUUGAGAAACAAUUCAAAACCAGUUGUUGUUUGUGUUGGAAUUGGAUCAACGAAUAUUUUUCAUAAAAAUUUCUCGAUGACUUAACUAUACUUUUGUUUCAUGUUUAAUUUUAAUCUUCGUAAUUUUGUAUUUAUACUUUUGUAAAUUUAAAUAAAAAAUCCUUAAUGACUUUUAUCUUUUUUAAAUAUUAAAGUGGAUAAUUUUUGUUGACGUGACAUGUACCGACUAUAUCAUUAGUGUUGAUUGGGCAUUUUAAUAUUUUAAAUUAAAAAUAAUUUUAUUAAAAGUCCAACUAAUAAUUAAAUUAAAUAUUAAAAAUAUUCAUCAAUCUUCAUUUUCAAUCCACUUUUCAUGUAUAGACUCAAACUAAACCCUGAAAUUAAGGUUCAUUUUUUUUCAAAAUAUCCACGUUAUUUAUUUAUUUAUUUACUUGUAGUUGUAUGCCAAUAAAUCUAAUAGUUGAGUUUCAAGUAAGAGGGUUGUAUUGUCGAAGGCAUGAAGAUUUAGUUUUGGGGGUGUGGGCGGGGUGGGGGUUUAAAAAGGAGAAUAAGGUAAGGUUUGGGACUAGUGGCAGUGCAUAUUCAAAUAAUUAGAAUAAGUUUAGUAUUCAAAUAAUUAGAAUAAGGAAAAUACUGUACCCCUCUUUUAUCUAUGUACCUCAAAAAAUAAAGAAAGAUAUUAAAAUAUCUUCAUAUAUAUAUAAUUUUAUUUUAUUUUAAUAUUUUCAAAACAAAAGUAAGUUUAAAAAAAAUUUCGAAAAACUUUUUUCAAGUUUUUCGGUACACAACUUCCACUCUAGAAAACUUGAAAAAAGUUUUCCGAUACAAACAUUAUUUUCGAAAAUCUUUUAUGAAGUUUUUCGAUACACAACUUCCACUCCGGAAAACUUGAAAAAAGUUUUCCGGUACAAAACAUCAUUUCUGAAAAUCUUUUUGUUAAAACUUUUCCAAAAAACUUGAUUUUUUUUAAAAUAAUUUUGUUUUGUUUGAAUUUUUUUUAUUAUAUUAGUAUUUAUUUAAUUUAGUUGAUUUUAAUUAAUUUUUUUUUCCAGUAGGUAGCAAGAAUACAGACUUUGAAUCUUCAUGGAUCCUGUGCUGGAAAUGAUUCGUCUUACAGCAUCCAUCGAGUCAUGAUUUACGGGGUAUUAAUUAUUAAUUAUGGUAUAUUAAUUAUUAACUAUUAUGAUGUAUAAAUUAUUGAAUGGUGUAUUAAUUAUUUAUGGUGCAUUUAUAAAAAUAAUAAAAAAAAAAUAGUGUGUACCGGAAAUCAUUUCGAGAAAGUUUUCCAAUAGUACAAUUUUUUCACUUCUGUAUCGGAAAACUUUUUUUAAGUUUUUCGAAAAUAAAAUGUGUACCGGAAUUAUAGUAAAAAAAAUUUAAGGGUAUAAUUGACAUUUUCAAAAAAUUAUAGGGGUAUAAGUAUAAAAAUGGGAGUAAAGAAUAAAUUUUUCAAAGAUAAAUCAAGUGUUGAAAGUGAAAGAAACGAGAGUGUUUGGUGAUGGAAGGCUAAAACUUGUUUUGCAACAACAACAUACACAGAUUUAUAACUACAACAAAAAAUAAACAAAGAAAGAAAAUGAGAGAAAGAUUUUAUUUGUCAGCUCAAAGUGCGCAGGGGCAACCGCAUCCCCUAUAACUUUUUAUAAAUAAUAAUGAUAUUAUUGUAAAAAAAUAAUAGUGAUAGCAUCUCUCCCCAUCGUAAUCACAUAUCUCUCCUCUCCGCCUCUUUAACUCUCUUAUCUCAGUUAUCUUCUUGUUCUCCCUCUCUUCCCUUGGACUCUCACUCUCAGUCGCAGCAGUCGGCUGCCAACAUUUCUUAGUGAUCGUCAAACAAUCUCAAUCAAUUUAAAAUGACAAUGGUUCUUAUCAGUAAUAAUUUGUUUUUUAUCUUUACCACAAUGUAAAAGAGAUUAUUCAAUGAUUCUUAAAUCACAACCAAGUCGCUAAUAUCAUAUUAGAAAUUACACGAUUGAAGAGAUAAACGAAGUAGACAUUUGUUAGAAUUUAUAUUGAUAAAAUAUAAUAAAAUUAAUACAAUGAGCUCUAUAUACAGAUAAAUUAUUUAAUAUUGAAGGAUAAAUUAACUGAUAUCGAACAGACAAACUCUAACACCCUAAUUAGCAAGUCAACUACUACCUAUCAACAAACUAUAACUUUUACAUGUAAUAGUUCAUAUAUGAUGUAGUGUGAUACAAUUUGUUAAUUGAGAAUUGUUUUAGUUUGUUUCUGAACUGCUUUAAUUAAUUUUUUUAUUUUAGAAAUGACACGAUAUUUAAACAUAAGAAAAUUGAUGUAUUUUUUUAAGAAGAAAGUUUUCGACAAGGAUAAAAAUUAUAAAACGGAUACAUUUUAUUUGAUUGAAUGUGUGAAACUCUAAAAACUUUUAUGACUUGUGAAAAUUGUAAAAAUUGUGUGAAUCGAAACUCUAACUUUUUAAACUUGUCGACUAUAUAUGAAUUAUGUGAAACUCUAAAAAACACUAUAUGACUUAUAUGAAUUUCAACUAUAAUAUUUUAGUAGUAUUUGUUACUCCCCAACUCCUCCCAAUAUUUUUUACAAGAUCUGCCAUUGAUUGUUGUUGUUGUCCUUUAGAAACAAACAUAGUGACAUAGUUGCAUUUUUCCUCUUCGUCUUUUGUUCUUUAUUCCUCCUCACACAACCUUCUUAUUAUUCUUCUACCACACAAUCUCUCUCUAACAACUCAAUUUUGACCUCUUUGGGGACCCAAAAUAUAAAAAUGACAGGAGAUGAAACCAAGAUCGGGGUUAGGGAUUUUGGAAUUCAGAGUUGAAAUAAGAUGGAAAAGAGACGAUUUAUUGAAAAUUUAGGUUGUUGUUUAGCACAAAAAUCGUCGAAAAUAAUAUUUUUCAUUUAUAUGGGAUUUUUCUGCUAAUAAUAUCAACCAAAUUGGAUUUUAUAAUUUUUAAGAAUGUUUAUGUUAGUAAUUGCAAAGGGCCUCAAGACUGCCAAUAUUAUUUUUGGAGUUGAUUAGUAGUUAUGAUUUACUGUUGAAUAAAUCGCUUGUUGCUUAAGGUAAUGGAUUUGUCGUUGGCCAUGAAAGAAACACCUUAACGAUUACCUUUUGUCUUUACUAUGAAACAAUCACACAACGACAUUAAAAAUGAUUGGCUCACGUCAUACUAUCACAAUCGGCAUAAAUCACUUGAUGUAGGGGCAUUUGGAUAUGCCUAAAAAAUUCUAAGUUAUAAGUCGAGAGCGACAAACAACCGAUUAUAUAGAAAAGAGUCGAGGUAAACCUAAGUCAAGGCCAUAGUGAAUGAAUGAAAAGACAACUAAAGUUGAUGAAAUCAAAUCUUUCUCAAUCGUGCCAGAGUUUAUUUGACAAACCACGCAUCAAAAGAAAUUCAAAUGUGGUGGUGGCAGACAAUUCGACAAUGAAUUAUUGAUUUUUCAAGAUAUUCAAAAAUUAAAUAUAUUGAAAAAUAAAAGGAUAAGCAAGAGAUAUUAUUUUCGAGAAGCAUUGUGAGGAGAGAGGAGAAACAUGCCACAUAGUUGGUCGCAAAAUGUGGAAUACAAGGCAAGCAAUAACUAGUCACGAUCUCAGACACGACGACACGAGUUGGCCGAAUAAUGACAAUUGGAACAUUAUUAUUAGUUGACCAUAAUUAUGGCUAAAAGGACUUAACUGUUACGAUUAUUUUCAGUCAAUAAAUACUCAUUACAAUUGUCAUUGUAAACACACGUCAAUAAAAAUCUUAAUUUUACGUGUAUUUUAUUUGCACUCUAUCUUUACUUAUAUUUUCCUUAAGUGCUUAAUUCUCACAAAUUUCAAUAUUAGACUUAAUGCUCUUUGGAGUAAAUAAAGAACUUACAAACGAAUAACAAAGUUCAUUCUUUAGCGUAAUCACUUGAUGUAAAGAGAAUCGUUGAAAACUUAAUUUUAGCCAAUCAUCUCGGCUAACUUUCUAGUUCGAAAACAAUAUUAUAUACACUUGUCCAAAUGUUCGACCUCUCAGUAGUGCGUAUGAAAAGACAUAUAUUGAAAUAUGUCAACUCUUUAAAUAGAUCUUAGUUACAUCAAAUAAUUAAUCUCUACAGUUAAACACAUGAAUAUCUUGGAUUUUUUUAAAAAACUAACACCUAUUUGAUUAUUAAAAUAACUCAUACAUAAACAGUUACAUAAUUAACAUUUAUUCAAUAAAUAUACUUGAUUAAAUUAUUUACUCAAAUGCAUAGUUAGUUAUCUCUUUCAUACUUUUAUCCUCACAUAUUUGCUGCUGGUGGUUACUGAUCCAAGACAAUCGUACAUAUCAUCCAUUUUUGCCGCACACUUCUUAAUAUAUAAACAUUACUCAAACAAGAGUCAUGACAAACCUAGGACAAAUAACACUUAAAAUUUCAUUGAAAAUAAAAACAGAAAAUCACUUUCUCCUAUACCAAUCCCCCACAAUAAGAAAAAUAUCCAAAAAGAAAUAGAAAAUAGAAAGAAAAAAAAAACCAUUUCAAUCUUAUGAACAUAUAUAUAUAUAUAUAUAUUAUAUUAGCCUAGCUUUCAUUGGUUGGCUUUUGUGCCAAUGGAAUAUCACCUCCACCAACAACAUUGUCACUAGCACAUACAACAACACUACCAAGCAAUUUCCUUUUAGGUUUGGCCUCUUGCAGCAUCAACACAACAUCUCUCAUUGAAGGUCUAUCAGCUGGAUUUCUACUUGUACAACGUAAUGCAAUUCUAAGCAUUUGUAUCAUUUCUUCCCUCACUGAGCUACACCUUGCCCCUGCAUUCUUGUCCAAUAUACCAUCUAUACCGUCUUUAGUUUUUAUUUUGGACCUAACCCAAUCUACGAUGCUAUUUGCAUCGCCGAAUUCUUGAUCCAUUGAACGUUUUCCACUUAAAAUUUCCAUUAACACAACUCCAUAGCUGUAAAUAUCACUCUUCUCAUCAACUUGUAGUGUAUAAGCAUAUUCUGCAAAAAUCAAACAACACCCUAUGUUAUUAUCAAUUAUGAUUAGUUAGUUAAUUAAUUGAUAGUAAAGUCUAAAUUGCAUUUAAAAAAUUGUAAAUAAAUUUUUCAUAAUCAAUUAAAAUUAGAUAUGUUUAUUCUACUAAUUAUGUUAAACUUAAUUUUUUUAAUAAAAAAAUAGUAGAAUAUCAUUAAAAAUCAUUUCAAUCCUUUUACUUUAAUGGAUUAACUAAAAUUCAAAGUCAACAUCCUCAUGAUUCAAAGUAGUUGUGAUAAUUGACAUAAUUCUCAGUGGACCCCAUUAAAUAUUUGAAGAUGAUGGACAAAAAAGCAACUCAUGAAAGUGAAAAAAAUAAAGGAAAAGUCUCUUCAUGCGCAAUAGUGCACCUACCCAUGCACCGAAAUUUGUCACAAAAUUGUGCCUCCUUCUAAGAUGCACAUAAAUUGGAUGAUAUGUGGUAGAAUUUCAAAAAAGUUUGCACAACAAUGUAGACAACAACAUCAAAGUUUUAAUGUAUUUGUAAUUAUAAUUAAAAUGGCACCACAUUGAUUAUAUUUGACUAUAAUUCUUUGAAAUUUGAAGAAUUUCAAUUUUUAUUGUGAUCAUGAUUUUGAAUGAAAUUCACAUGAUUCAAAUUUUAAACUUAAUUUGAUGCCGUUAUUUGAUCUAGAAUGGUUUUCACGACUACUAUAUAGUGCAAUUGUUGAAAAAUAUCCAAACACAUAUCUAAAAUCAUGCUCUACCAUUGUGAUGAACCACAUUUCACCUCACCUAAGAUAUAGCAACCUUAAAAGUUUUGUUCAUAUUAAUGAGAUAAUAAUAAUAAAAGUAAAGAAGAAGAAUGUGGUGGUGACCUGGAGCAAUGUAACCAUAGGAUCCAGCAAUGACAGACAUGGACUCAUCCGUUUGAAUCAACUUAGCAACACCAAAAUCAGCUACUCUAGCCUCCAUAUCAGCGUCCAAUAAAAUGUUACUAGGUUUAAGAUCCCUAUGAACAAUAACAGGAUCACAGUCAUGGUGAAGAUAGCAUAUCCCCUGAGCCACACCCAAAGCUAUCUUAUACCUUGUAAACCAAUCAGCAACCAUAUUGUCCCCUUUAUUCUUUGCAUGUAACAAAUCAUCGAGGUUCCCAUUUGGCAUGUACUCGUAAAGCAGCAUUGUACACUCCCUGUUGCUGCAACACCCUAACAAUCUCA
rnacentral:lncRNA from 1 species